GAUGAACGCUGGCGGCGUGCCUAAUACAUGCAAGUCGAGCGAAUGGAUUAAGAGCUUGCUCUUAUGAAGUUAGCGGCGGACGGGUGAGUAACACGUGGGUAACCUGCCCAUAAGACUGGGAUAACUCCGGGAAACCGGGGCUAAUACCGGAUAAUAUUUUGAACUGCAUGGUUCAAAAUUGAAAGGCGGCUUCGGCUGUCACUUAUGGAUGGACCCGCGUCGCAUUAGCUAGUUUGUGAGGUAACGGCUCACCAAGGCAACGAUGCGUAGCCGACCUGAGAGGGUGAUCGGCCAAACUGGGACUGAGACACGGCCCAGACUCCUACGGGAGGCAGCAGUAGGGAAUCUUCCGCAAUGGACGAAAGUCUGACGGAGCAACGCCGCGUGAGUGACGAAGGCUUUCGGGUCGUAAAACUCUGUUGUUAGGGAAGAACAAGUGCUAGUUGAAUAAGCUGGCACCUUGACGGUACCUAACCAGAAAGCCACGGCUAACUACGUGCCAGCCGCCGCCGUAA
rnacentral:rRNA from 1 species